CACAGAGCAGGGCAGAAAACGCAGCAACGACGCCCUAACCUCACGUCUCGCGCCCCGACACCUUCUCCGGCAUCCCUGAGAGCGGAGACCCUCCUGUGACCUCCCUGAGCAGAACCAGCGAUCCGCCGGCGACGACCCUCUUCUCCUACUCCUCCGAGCCCUCGCCCUCUCUCAAAAUCCUCGACCUCUGCCGCCGUUAGACCUCCCUGAGCAGAACCCAGCGAUCAGCCGGCGACGACCCUCUUCUCCUACUCCUCCGAGCCCUCGACCUCUGCCGACCUUAGGGCUUAUUUGCGGUGCAAUUCUCAUUUGUGCAGUUUGCUGGACCACCUCCUGCGGCAUCCUCCCCUUAGACAUCAACGAUCUCGUUCCAAAUGCUUUGGGAGUCAUUUUGGCUUUUGUCCAACUGGUCCUCAUGCUUGUUACUAUAGAUCCACACCGAAAAAAGAAGACAACGCUGAGAUUGAACUACCUGUUAAACAUUUUAAGCUUUCAUAAAUUUUCUGAAAACUCUUACAUAACUUUCUAAAUUGUUGCAUCCCCUCUUGGCAAUGGAGAUGUGUUUACAUUUUGUUUGAAAAAUAUUGUCAUUUUCUAAAGAUUGAAAACUUUUUAUUUGA